GUACACAAAAAUGCACAUAUUGUGAGCUCGAUGAGUAGGGCGGGACACGUGGUAUCCUGUCUGAAUAUGGGGGGACCAUCCUCCAAGGCUAAAUACUCCUGACUGACCGAUAGUGAACCAGUACCGUGAGGGAAAGGCGAAAAGAACCCCGGCGAGGGGAGUGAAAAAGAACCUGAAACCGUGUACGUACAAGCAGUGGGAGCCUCUUUAUGGGGUGACUGCGUACCUUUUGUAUAAUGGGUCAGCGACUUAUAUUCUGUAGCAAGGUUAACCGAAUAGGGGAGCCGAAGGGAAACCGAGUCUUAACUGGGCGUUAAGUUGCAGGGUAUAGACCCGAAACCCGGUGAUCUAGCCAUGGGCAGGUUGAAGGUUGGGUAACACUAACUGGAGGACCGAACCGACUAAUGUUGAAAAAUUAGCGGAUGACUUGUGGCUGGGGGUGAAAGGCCAAUCAAACCGGGAGAUAGCUGGUUCUCCCCGAAAGCUAUUUAGGUAGCGCCUCGUGAAUUCAUCUCCGGGGGUAGAGCACUGUUUCGGCAAGGGGGUCAUCCCGACUUACCAACCCGAUGCAAACUGCGAAUACCGGAGAAUGUUAUCACGGGAGACACACGGCGGGUGCUAACGUCCGUCGUGAAGAGGGAAACAACCCAGACCGCCAGCUAAGGUCCCAAAGUCAUGGUUAAGUGGGAAACGAUGUGGGAAGGCCCAGACAGCCAGGAUGUUGGCUUAGAAGCAGCCAUCAUUUAAAGAAAGCGUAAUAGCUCACUGGUCGAGUCGGCCUGCGCGGAAGAUGUAACGGGGCUAAACCAUGCACCGAAGCUGCGGCAGCGACACUAUGUGUUGUUGGGUAGGGGAGCGUUCUGUAAGCCUGUGAAGGUGGCCUGUGAGGGUUGCUGGAGGUAUCAGAAGUGCGAAUGCUGACAUAAGUAACGAUAAAGCGGGUGAAAAGCCCGCUCGCCGGAAGACCAAGGGUUCCUGUCCAACGUUAAUCGGGGCAGGGUGAGUCGACCCCUAAGGCGAGGCCGAAAGGCGUAGUCGAUGGGAAACAGGUUAAUAUUCCUGUACUUGGUGUUACUGCGAAGGGGGGACGGAGAAGGCUAUGUUGGCCGGGCGACGGUUGUCCCGGUUUAAGCGUGUAGGCUGGUUUUCCAGGCAAAUCCGGAAAACCAAGGCUGAGGCGUGAUGACGAGGCACUACGGUGCUGAAGCGACAAAUGCCCUGCUUCCAGGAAAAGCCUCUAAGCAUCAGGUAACAUCAAAUCGUACCCCAAACCGACACAGGUGGUCAGGUAGAGAAUACCAAGGCGCUUGAGAGAACUCGGGUGAAGGAACUAGGCAAAAUGGUGCCGUAACUUCGGGAGAAGGCACGCUGAUAUGUAGGUGAAGCGACUUGCUCGUGGAGCUGAAAUCAGUCGAAGAUACCAGCUGGCUGCAACUGUUUAUUAAAAACACAGCACUGUGCAAACACGAAAGUGGACGUAUACGGUGUGACGCCUGCCCGGUGCCGGAAGGUUAAUUGAUGGGGUUAGCGGUAACGCGAAGCUCUUGAUCGAAGCCCCGGUAAACGGCGGCCGUAACUAUAACGGUCCUAAGGUAGCGAAAUUCCUUGUCGGGUAAGUUCCGACCUGCACGAAUGGCGUAAUGAUGGCCAGGCUGUCUCCACCCGAGACUCAGUGAAAUUGAACUCGCUGUGAAGAUGCAGUGUACCCGCGGCAAGACGGAAAGACCCCGUGAACCUUUACUAUAGCUUGACACUGAACAUUGAGCCUUGAUGUGUAGGAUAGGUGGGAGGCUUUGAAGUGUGGACGCCAGUCUGCAUGGAGCCGACCUUGAAAUACCACCCUUUAAUGUUUGAUGUUCUAACGUUGGCCCGUAAUCCGGGUUGCGGACAGUGUCUGGUGGGUAGUUUGACUGGGGCGGUCUCCUCCUAAAGAGUAACGGAGGAGCACGAAGGUUGGCUAAUCCUGGUCGGACAUCAGGAGGUUAGUGCAAUGGCAUAAGCCAGCUUGACUGCGAGCGUGACGGCGCGAGCAGGUGCGAAAGCAGGUCAUAGUGAUCCGGUGGUUCUGAAUGGAAGGGCCAUCGCUCAACGGAUAAAAGGUACUCCGGGGAUAACAGGCUGAUACCGCCCAAGAGUUCAUAUCGACGGCGGUGUUUGGCACCUCGAUGUCGGCUCAUCACAUCCUGGGGCUGAAGUAGGUCCCAAGGGUAUGGCUGUUCGCCAUUUAAAGUGGUACGCGAGCUGGGUUUAGAACGUCGUGAGACAGUUCGGUCCCUAUCUGCCGUGGGCGCUGGAGAACUGAGGGGGGCUGCUCCUAGUACGAGAGGACCGGAGUGGACGCAUCACUGGUGUUCGGGUUGUCAUGCCAAUGGCACUGCCCGGUAGCUAAAUGCGGAAGAGAUAAGUGCUGAAAGCAUCUAAGCACGAAACUUGCCCCGAGAUGAGUUCUCCCUGACUCCUUGAGAGUCCUGAAGGAACGUUGAAGACGACGACGUUGAUAGGCCGGGUGUG
rnacentral:rRNA from 1 species